AUACGUAGGGGGCGAGCGUUGUCCGGAAUGAUUGGGCGUAAGGGCGCGUAGGCGGCGCGGUAAGUCUGGAGUGAAAGUCCUGCUUUCAAGGUGGGAAUUGCUUUGGAUACUGCCGCGCUUGAGUGCAGGAGAGGUUAUCGGAAUUCCCGGUGUAGCGGUGAAAUGCGUAGAGAUCGGGAGGAACACCAGUGGCGAAGGCGGGUAACUGGACUGCAACUGACGCUGAGGCGCGAAAGUGUGGGGAGCAAACAGGAUUAGAUACCCUGGUAGUCCACACUGUAAACGAUGAAUGCUAGGUGUAAGAGGUAUCGACCCCUUUUGUGCCGGAGUCAACACAAUAAGCAUUCCGCCUGGGGAGUACGGCCGCAAGGUUGAAACUCAAAUGAAUUGGCGGG
rnacentral:rRNA from 1 species